UCUUCCGUGGCGCAAUUGGCUAGCGCGUCUGACUGUUAAUUUAAUAGCUUCUCAAGAAGCAGUUGAUAGCGAUCAGGAGGUUGACAGUUCAAGCCUGUCCGGGAGAG